CCUACGGGAGGCAGCAGUGAGGAAUAUUGGUCAAUGGACGCAAGUCUGAACCAGCCAUGCCGCGUGCAGGAAGACGGCUUUCGGGUUGUAAACUUCUUUUCUGAGGGACGAAGAAAGUGACGGUACCUCAGGAAUAAGCCACGGCUAACUACGUGCCAGCAGCCGCGGUAAUACGUAGGUGGCAAGCGUUAUCCGGAUUUAUUGGGUGUAAAGGGCGUGUAGGCGGGAAAGUAAGUCAGAUGUGAAAACUCAGGGCUCAACCCUGAGCCUGCAUUUGAAACUGUUUUUCUUGAGUGCUGGAGAGGCAAUCGGAAUUCCGUGUGUAGCGGUGAAAUGCGUAGAUAUACGGAGGAACACCAGUGGCGAAGGCGGAUUGCUGGACAGUAACUGACGCUGAGGCGCGAAAGCGUGGGGAGCAAACAGGAUUAGAUACUCGGGUAGUC
rnacentral:rRNA from 1 species